rnacentral:rRNA from 1 species
GAGUUUGAUCAUGGCUCAGGACGAACGCUGGCGGCGUGCUUAACACAUGCAAGUCGAGCGAAGGAAUACUUAGGAAGCCUUCGGGAAGAAUACGUAUUUCUUAGCGGCGGACGGGUGAGUAACGCGUGAGGAAUCUGCCUCGCACAAGGGGAUAGCCUCGGGAAACCGGGAUUAAUACCCUAUGAUACUUACACUGCGCAUGCAGAGUAAGUUAAAGGAUAUCGGUGUGAGAUGGCCUCGCGUCCCAUUAGCUUGUUGGCAGGGUAAAAGCCUACCAAGGCGACGAUGGGUAGCCGGCCUGAGAGGGUGAACGGCCACAUUGGAACUGAGACACGGUCCAGACUCCUACGGGAGGCAGCAGUGGGGAAUAUUGCACAAUGGAGGGAACUCUGAUGCAGCAACGCCGCGUGAGCGAAGAAGGUUUUAGGAUCGUAAAGCUCUGUCCUAGGGGAAGAUAAUGACGGUACCCGAGGAGGAAGCCCCGGCUAACUACGUGCCAGCAGCCGCGGUAAUAC